GACGAACGCUGGCGGCGUGCUUAACACAUGCAAGUCGAACGGAAAGGCCCUGCUUUUGCGGGGUGCUCGUGUGGCGAACGGGUGAGUAACACGUGUGUAACCUGUCCUUGUCUUUGGGAUAACUUCAGGAAACUGGGGCUAAUAUCGGAUAGGAGCUCUUGCUGCAUGGUGGGGGUUGGAAAGUUUCGGCGGUUGGGGAUGGACUGGCGGCUUAUCAGCUUGUUGGUGGGGUAGUGGCUUACCAAGGCUUUGACGGGUAGCCGGCCUGAGAGGGUGAACAGCCACAAUAGGACUGAGAUACGGCCCAGACUCCUACGGGAGGCAGCAGUGGGGAAUAUUGCAGAGUGAGCGGAAGCCUGAUGCAGCAGCGCCGCGUGCGGGAUGAUGGCCUACGGGUGGUGAACCGCUUUCGCAGGUGAUGAAGCGUGAGUGACGGUAAUGGGUAAAGAAGCACCGGCUAACUACGUG
rnacentral:rRNA from 1 species